GGGUGACACCGCUCAGCCGCACCGAUCAUUAUGAUGGUUCUGAGGAUGCCUUCAGAUUAUAAACGACGCAAACACAACAGCGCCUUCUUCAUCAACAGACAAUUCCCCAUAAAAUAACGAUGAAAGGUGAAAGAUCCGACUCUCAAAGAUGUCUCCUGCUUGAACUUUAACGCGGUGAAGACUAAGAAGGUCCAGCAGCUCCUGAAUUCCUACGAUCUGGCUACACUUACUCUGGGUAACAGAUGACAGAUUUAUAACUAUCCCAAGGUCAACUUUUUUUUAGCUACAUGCUGUUUUUUCAUUACAACCUCUCUGACCAAAAACUGACUUGCAAAUGGAGGAGGAAGACUUGCGCUCCUCCCUUCCUGAAGCCACAAAUUCUGUUCUUUUUGCGCCUAGCCACGAAUCACGGGCCUCUACAGAACAUCAAUACCUCAAUGGACAACCAGAUGCUGUGGCAAAGGAGCAUACGGAGCUGCUUAUAACCCAGGAAGUAGAGCCAGAGCAUAUUUAUUUCCACACAGACAACAAAGGUACUGCGGCCGAAACGGAGACUUGGGAACAAAUAAUAUGGCCAGUCUGCAACACAACACCGCUGUCCCUGGCCUCAGAGGACUGGGAUAUGCCCAGGCCGAGCUCUGGGACGCCUCCACAUGAGACGGACAAGGUUGUGGCCAAUCAACCCCACUCGGAUGCUCUAACACAGGCCCUCAGCGCGUCCUUCCCUAUUAAUUCUGAAAGUGAUCAUAGCCAUCUGUUCAAAGAGGCCGACGCCGAAGAACAAGACGAGUUUGAUUCGUGGCUGCUUCUCUGCUCCGAGGCAGAAUGGAUGGGACCCAAUUUAAAGCCAUGUGAUACGGAAAGCACAAACUCGCACAGAACACAGGAAGAGGAACACGCGACACACAAGCUCUUAGACCACAAAUUCGGUAGGUGCUAUAAAAAAC
ensembl:lncRNA